GCCGGAGUAGUGUAGUGGGUUGAGCGUUGGGACUAUGACUCCGGAGACCAGGGUUCGGAUCCCGGCUCAACCA